CUGUUAGUUAAUGGCUUACUUGCAGAUAUUAUUUUCCUGACAUGGAACAUUCAUUCAUAUGUAGAAAGAAGGAAGUAUUUUUGUGUAUCACUGCAUAGCCAGCACAGCCAGAGAAACAACAGGACAGCUCCUAGGAGCUCCUCUUAGUGACCUUUAAACAAUACUGAUGUAGAGUCUAUAUAAUCCAAAUAUGUGAUUUUCACUUCAAAGUAGAACCAAAAUUAAAUUAAUAGAGAGAACACCAUGGACAUUGAAGCAACCUACUCUGAGAUUUUCAAUAUAGACUUCAGGCUGUCUCCUUUAGUGGAAUCUUUUCUUUAGUUCAACAUGACUCCUUGCAUUUCUAUGCUGUCAGAACAUAGGAGCACAACAAAACAACGUGAGAAAGCUAUACCGGGUCAUACAAAAUCUUCCACAGAUAUCUGACAUUCUGCCUCUGACUAGAGCCAGAAGCAAAUGCCUGUGGUUGUGAAAGUAUGAUGUGGAAGAGAGAUGAUCUUGUUUCUUCUCUUUCCUUAUCUUCUGCAAGUAAAAAAUGUCUGUGUGGAAUGGCUUUCUUUUGGAAAAUGUGAUUUGACAGAAUUGAGACACAGCAUGCUGAUGUGUUGAUUUAGUAGAAGAUUAGAGUGGAGAAUAAGCAGGAAGGCUUGCAGCCUAUGCUACAGUCCCGUGGCUGCCCAGACAGAACCAAGAUGCAUAAAAGAUGAGCUAAAACUAUCUAAAUUAGCCUGAAGCAGAAUGCACAAGCUUUUGUCUUGCAAAAGAAACUGAACACUUUGAUCUUUUAUCUUGAAGUAGGCUAUUUUUCUCCAAAAGUUUUAAAGGGGUAUAAAAUGGUGUUCUAUACAGCUUUGGUCUUCUGCUUCUGUUAUCUUGAAUAGAUGAUACAUAUUGAUCUGCUUUCUCCUUUCACCUUUGCUUGGUGCCAGUGCUCCUCUUUCACCCUAAAGCUUGUGUUCUGUGAAGUAACAGAGAUCUUCAUAUACACACUUACAAAGAAAUAUUUAAUUUCAAGGUUAGUCUUCUGUUUUUCUUUUAUAUACUCAUGCAAGUGAUAAAUGAAUAUGCUGAACACUGGCUGUUGACUAACUGGAGAAUUACAGGGAAAAGCUGCAACAAAAACUUUAAGAACUGAG
ensembl:lncRNA